rnacentral:tRNA from 1 species
GGUUCGGUAGUGUAGUGGUUACACGCUCGCUUCACAUGUGAGAGGCCCAAGGUUCGAGCACUAGUAAAAUCA